rnacentral:rRNA from 1 species
UACGUAGGGACCGAGCGUUGUCCGGAUUCAUUGGGCGUAAAGCGCGCGUAGGCGGCUUUGCAAGUCGGGUGUGAAAUCCCCAGGCUUAACCUGGGAACUGCAUUCGAGACUGCAUUGCUAGAGUAUGGGAGAGGGAAGUGGAAUUUCCGGUGUAGCGGUGAAAUGCGUAGAUAUCGGAAGGAACAUCAGUGGCGAAAGCGGCUUCCUGGUCCAGCACCGACGUUCAGGCACGAAAGCGUGGGGAGCAAACAGG